GACGGGUGCACGCCGAAUCCCUGCCCCCACCCGCCGGAAACAAAAACCCGAUGGCAGGAGCGGGGGAACCAAUACCCGGCCACCGAACCUGGUGGCCUUGGGGUGAAGCCGCAGGGCCGUUGGCAGCAAUGAGGAACCGUCUUCCUUGCUGUCGAAGGCACAGGAUUUGGGAGUUCCUGACAUGCGGCCGGGCUUGUUCCCUGCCCGAACCCGACAGCUCACCUCGCGAGGCGUGGGGAAGAAAACUC
rfam:Frankia sp. ETN1f ctg00312, whole genome shotgun sequence.